rnacentral:rRNA from 1 species
GACGAACGUUGGCGGCGUGCUUAACACAUGCAAGUCGAACGGAAAGGCCCUGCUUUUGUGGGGUGCUCGAGUGGCGAACGGGUGAGUAACACGUGAGUAACCUGCCCUUGACUUUGGGAUAACUUCAGGAAACUGGGGCUAAUACCGGAUAGGAGCUCCUGCUGCAUGGUGGGGGUUGGAAAGUUUCGGCGGUUGGGGAUGGACUCGCGGCUUAUCAGCUUGUUGGUGGGGUAGUGGCUUACCAAGGCUUUGACGGGUAGCCGGCCUGAGAGGGUGACCGGCCACAUUGGGACUGAGAUACGGCCCAGACUCCUACGGGAGGCAGCAGUGGGGAAUAUUGCACAAUGGGCGGAAGCCUGAUGCAGCAACGCCGCGUGCGGGAUGACGGCCUUCGGGUUGUAAACCGCUUUCGCCUGUGACGAAGCGUGAGUGACGGUAAUGGGUAAAGAAGCACCGGCUAACUACGUGCCAGCAGCCGCGGUGAUACGUAGGGUGCGAGCGUUGUCCGGAUUUAUUGGGCGUAAAGGGCUCGUAGGUGGUUGAUCGCGUCGGAAGUGUAAUCUUGGGGCUUAACCCUGAGCGUGCUUUCGAUACGGGUUGACUUGAGGAAGGUAGGGGAGAAUGGAAUUCCUGGUGGAGCGGUGGAAUGCGCAGAUAUCAGGAGGAACACCAGUGGCGAAGGCGGUUCUCUGGGCCUUUCCUGACGCUGAGGAGCGAAAGCGUGGGGAGCGAACAGGCUUAGAUACCCUGGUAGUCCACGCUGUAAACGGUGGGUACUAGGUGUGGGGUCCAUUCCACGGGUUCCGUGCCGUAGCUAACGCUUUAAGUACCCCGCCUGGGGAGUACGGCCGCAAGGCUAAAACUCAAAGGAAUUGACGGGGCCCCGCACAAGCGGCGGAGCAUGCGGAUUAAUUCGAUGCAACGCGUAGAACCUUACCUGGGUUUGACAUGGAUCGGGAGUGCUCAGAGAUGGGUGUGCCUCUUUUGGGGUCGGUUCACAGGUGGUGCAUGCCUGUCGUCAGCUCGUGUCGUGAGAUGUUGGGUUAAGUCCCGCAACGAGCGCAACCCUUGUUCACUGUUGCCAGCACGUUAUGGUGGGGACUCAGUGGAGACCGCCGGGGUCAACUCGGAGGAAGGUGGGGAUGACGUCAAGUCCUCAUGCCCCUUAUGUCCAGGGCUUCACGCAUGCUACAAUGGCUGGUACAGAGAGUGGCGAGCCUGUGAGGGUGAGCGAAUCUCGGAAAGCCGGUCUCAGUUCGGAUUGGGGUCUGCAACUCGACCUCAUGAAGUCGGAGUCGCUAGUAAUCGCAGAUCAGCAACGCUGCGGUGAAUACGUUCCCGGGGCC